rnacentral:misc_RNA from 1 species
GAUGAAGAACGUAGCGAAAUGCGAUACGUAAUGUGAAUUGCAGAAUUCAGUGAAUCAUCGAGUCUUUGAACGCACAUUGCGCCCCCUGGCAUUCCGGGGGGCAUGCCUGUUCGAGCGUCAUUACAACCCUCAAGCUCUGCUUGGUAUUGGGCUCUGCCGGUCCCGGCAGGCCUUAAAAUCAGUGGCGGCGCCACUCGGCUUCAAGCGUAGUAAUUCUUCUCGCUUCGGAGACCCGGGUGCGUGCUAGCCAGCAACCCCCAACUUUCUCAGGUUGACCUCGGAUCAGGUAGGGAUACCCGCUGAACUUAAGCAUAUCAAUAAGCGGAGGA